CCUACGGGCGGCAGCAGUGGGGAAUAUUGGACAAUGGGGGGGAACCCUGAUCCAGCCAUGCCGCGUGUGUGAAGAAGGCCCUCGGGUUGUAAAGCACUUUCAGUGAGGAAGAACGCCUGGUGGUUAAUACCCAUCAGGAAAGACAUCACUCACAGAAGAAGCACCGGCUAACUCCGUGCCAGCAGCCGCGGUAAUACGGAGGGUGCGAGCGUUAAUCGGAAUUACUGGGCGUAAAGCGCGCGUAGGUGGCUUGAUAAGCCGGUUGUGAAAGCCCCGGGCUCAACCUGGGAACGGCAUCCGGAACUGUCAAGCUAGAGUGCAGGAGAGGAAGGUAGAAUUCCCGGUGUAGCGGUGAAAUGCGUAGAGAUCGGGAGGAAUACCAGUGGCGAAGGCGGCCUUCUGGACUGACACUGACACUGAGGUGCGAAAGCGUGGGUAGCAAACAGGAUUAGAUACCCUGGUAGUC
rnacentral:rRNA from 1 species